AACUCGAUCCCCACUUAACCUGAAUCUCCUUUGUGCUUUUGUACAGAGGGUCGAAAGUCAACUGUGUCUCUGGACUCGUUCAAACCGACAGCUAAGAAGCCGUUCAGGGAUCGGGCCUCCACAAAUAACCUGGAUUUAUCCAGUCAGCUGACCUACAGACGGGGAGGAGACUAGAGGGAAGAUAAUAAGCCUGGGAAAGAGAUGGCUGAAUGAGUGGAACGAUGGCGCUAAGGAGCGGAAAUAAGCUGGCUUGAAAAAGAUGGAAGGCAGGAAGGAUUAGGCCAGUGACACUGUCACACUUGAGCAGAACAUCCAGCAGCCAGCGGCGGUACAUGAGACUUGAGUCAUUAGGCCACUAGCUGGAGGAACGGAGCAGAGCGGGUAUUACUGUGUGACUAACAGGCCAGGGAGAUGACACUGCAAAUACAUCUCCUCCAUGACGCCAUUCAUGCAGUCCAGUGAUCACCUUCAGUAUAUCAUUUUAACACAAGAAAACCAAACAUUGUCCAUGCAUUAAUUGCACAGUACAGCCCAGCAUAGCCUGAUGGAAAAUGUAUUGCUCAGACGUUGUGCUUUUUAAAGUUCAGGUGAUUAAAUUAAGUACUAAACUAUAUUUCAUUAAAGAAUAAAUUUCAUCCCA